UACAGAGGUCCCAAGCGUUGUUCGGAUUCACUGGGCGUAAAGGGUGCGUAGGCGGUCGGAUAAGUCUGAUGUGAAAUCUUCGAGCUCAACUCGGAAACUGCAUCGGAAACUAUUCGGCUGGAGGAUUGGAGGGGAGACUGGAAUUCACGGUGUAGCAGUGAAAUGCGUAGAUAUCGUGAGGAAGACCAGUGGCGAAGGCGGGUCUCUGGACAGUUCCUGACGCUGAGGCGCGAAGGCCAGGGGAGCAAACGGG
rnacentral:rRNA from 1 species